rnacentral:lncRNA from 1 species
AAUUGAUCAGCUGCUCUGGAUCCCCCCCCACCCCCUCAAAACAAAAAUGAAACAAACAAAAACAAAAACUUUGAAGCACAAAACUCCAAAUACAAGUUCUAUCAAGACUGAAAUCACAGAGGGCGUGGACAAGAGACAGGAUUGGGGGCUGGCUGGCUCUUUUCUGCUUGGAGCGUGCUGACCUCUGGCUGCCCGUCCUGUCCUGCCUGACUGCGGCUCACCCUGGGCUGAGGACCCGACGACACAGAGGUGCAGAGGCCACAAGCCACUGUGGGGGAUGGUGGAGUCCUCAGGGAGGAAGGGCCUUGUGGGAGGAGGGACAAAGUGGAAUUGGGAGCCCUGCCCUUCCUCUCCCAGGGCCAUUUUUCAAGAGUUCCACCCUGGCUCUCUCUCUGGAGGGGGCAACCCCCGGCUUCCUCCCCUUCACGAUUGCCGAUUUGCCGAUUGCCGAUUGCCGCAGGGCCAGGGGACUCUUCCCAAGGGCCGCCCCCUCCCUUAGAGAGGAGCAGACACUGAGGACGGCUGUAAGUCAGGGUGAGAGUGGGUCUCCUGUUUCCUGCGGAGGGUGCCCAGCUGAGGGGUGGGGGUGAGGCCCACAGUCAUCUACACAGAGCAAAGUUGCCCCUAUCCAGCAGAAGCCAUGGAAUCUGGAGAACCCAGGGCCUGGAGAAUACCUGAGCCACCAUCCAUCCUACUACCCAGAGGAGCCUUUUACCUCUGGGGUAAAAGUCUCCUAAAUUAAGCCCUUUGGAUAAGAAAGACCACACCCUAAAAGGGAGUGAAGGGAGAAAACCGCUUAGAGCGCAUGAUGUGUGACUUGGGAGUGAGAGCCCAGAGAGGCUCUGCUGGCCCCAAGAGGAAGUAUCAGAGAUGGCUGGAGGGGCAACUGUACAUGCAGACUUCAUGAGCUGGAAACAGUCCCCCUCACUCAUGUGGAGAGACGUGAGGGCAGCACUUGUGCCCGUUCGCACUGCCUGUUGAGCCUGAGCCAGGAAGAAGGGACGGGCGGGCCCCGCAGGGAACCCGGGCACUCACAUGAUGCCAGCGGUGCAGCCCCACGCAGGAAAGGCCCCACCAGAGGCUGCCCAGAGCCCGGUUGCCCCAAGGGCCUGAUAAGGAAGGGAGGAAGCAGAACUCUGGAUGAGCUCAGCAGAGGGGAGACAAGACCCAGCAGGCUCCAGGGAAGAAAAAGGACCUGCAGGCGGCACUGGCACUGGCAAGAACGCGAGGCGGGAAGAUGACAGCAACGUGACCUCACCGGCUUCAGGGUGCAGUGCCUGCGCCGCUGGCCUCCUGUUCAAGGGCCCACUGGCAGCCACUCCCUGGACUCUGAAGUGACUGCAAAGCCAGCUGGUCUGAGAUGUGUCUGUGAGCAGCUAGGCCUGAGCAUGGCGAAAGAGUAGCAGCGGGGGGAGGAGGAAGAGGUGAAGAUGGCCCAGGUGAAGCAGUCACGGAAGUGUGUCUCAGGGGGUCACAAGCACCCACAGGUCUAGGGCACAGAGAGAGGGUCUUUUCUUGGCAGGACGGUAAAGGAAAAGGAGACGGGGGUGACCAGGGCCUUUUCUUGGCAGUAAGUAGUUUUGGAAUUUGAAUCCAGAAUGUGGGUUUGGGGCCAGAGUUACAUUUUGUACCCCACACCAGCUGACUCACGAAAUGGUUCGUAUCUGCACUUUAGGAAGAUCAUAUCCCAACCCCAGGCAAGGCCAGAGCGUGCGUACUCACAGCAGCAGGCAAAAUACUGGUGGAUUCCUAGCUCUACCCGCCCCCCAAGCCUCCCCAGACACCCCGGGAAUUCUCAGGCAGCUUUCUGAGCCUCUAGUGAUGAUCGUUUCCCUAACUUCUUUCAAGAAAAGAUUUGUACUAUGUGGCAACUCGCAGCCUCUGGGCCCAGACAAGUCAAAUGGGAGAGCUCAAGACCGGGCAUACAGCCUGAUGCUGGGCUCUGAACCUUUGCCAACGAUUCCUCCAACUAGUCUAGGCAUCUCCACAGCUCCCUGACUAGACGUAGCACCUUGGUUUCUGCAGGAGAAAAGGGAGCUCCUCUGUCCCCCUGCCAGGCAACCUCACACUGCCAGGGCCUGACUCUGAGGCCUGUUUAGCCACUCUUAAUCCCCUAACAUUCCUGGGAAGAUGAAAUGGCCAGUAGAGAUGAGGCAUAUCUGACCUAAGAAGUUUUCCUUUCUCUUGCAUUUGCUCUCAGGGUUUAAUUGGAAAAGGGGGGAAACUAACGGGACCUUUUCUGCCACUCCUAGACUCUGGCCAUUAGAGAGAAUGGGGUGGGCUUGGGAGAGAUGUCCCAGGAGCGCUGGGGUCCCCAGGGCCUGCCUCCCUUCUGGGGGCCAGGCAAGCAAUGGGCCAUGGUCUCCAAUGGGAGAACAUGCCUGACAAAAUUGACCUCCCAUGAGGCAAGAUGAUAGAAAUGGUCCGAGUCUUUCAGAACCCUGGUUUUCUCAUGAAGGAGACAGGCCAGGCCAAGGCAAGCACAGCGAUUCUAGCCAAAGGUCGCCCAGGAAGCCUGAGGAUGGGCAAAGGGCAAUAGACAGCCACGUCUGGUACCUGGAGCCAGCAGGCAGAGAAAGCAGCUGGAGAGUCAGACCUCUUCAAAGGCAAGACAGACACAAAGGCCACCCUGGGGCUCUUUGUCUCAGAGACACCAUGUACCCUCAAGACAUCUCACUCCUGCAUUCUUUCUCAGUGCCAAGGGCUGAUGCAGCCAGCCUGCCCCCUGCACCCCCCUUCCCCCCCCCCCCCCGCCAAGGCCAGGGUGCAUGGGCACCAAUGAGUGUUACAGGCCAUGUCCUUCAGAGUUGUCCCGCAGGCACUCACAAUGCUGGUGGCUGAAAGACGGAGAGCAGCACCAAAGGAAGGGAUCUUAUUUAGGCACCAGCCUUUUGCUCUAGCAAAAUCCGAGGAGACAAUGGGUAGGGUAGGGUCCUGAUACCAUCCACACUCCACUCAGGCUUCAAGAACAGAAGCCCAGAUCCCUGCGCCAAGAAGAGAGGACAGUCCUUUCCGAGGAGGGGAGAGUGGUGGGAGGGCUUGGCUGCUGCCCGUCAGGGCUGCAGUCGUCCAGAGGACAGAAAUCAUGGAGACUAGCCCACCAGUCUUGAGACACAAACACAGCAAAAUGUCAUCAUGAUCAGCAGGUUCUGUGCUAAAAAAUUAUAACUACACAGCAUUUUCUCCAGUUCUGACACCUUUUUAAUAGAAAUCACUGUUUUUAGGAAACAAAUAGCACUUUUGUAAUUUUUUUUACAAUGUUUCUUACCUUGAUCUUAAUUUAAGUAACACUAGGAAGACCUCAAUAUCUUUUAUUUUCCUUUUUAAUUUAAAAAAAAGUUGUUGUUGUUGUUUUCCCCAGAUACAAAGAUUUUUGCCCUUGCAUAAAAAACAGUGCCCCAAACGAUGACACAAGGACUCACACAGACUCACUGGACCUCACUGACACUAUGAUUCCUAGUCUACCAUGCACGGCCUCGACUACCCUUAAUUGACUGUCAGCCUGAAAAACAGCUUUUCUAUUCCUUAUUUUAGUUUUUGUUACCAAAAAAGUAAAAGAAACAAAAUAAAACUUUUUCUUAAAGAAAAAAACAAAACAAAACAACAAAAAUUAAAAAAAAGAGAGAAAAGAAACAUCUCCAUUCAAUUCACACACACCUGGGUCGCGUGCUGCUUCGCUCAGAAUCUUCUCUUCUU